rnacentral:rRNA from 1 species
UGGUGGAGCGAUUAGUCUGGUGAGUGUCUUACACUGACUUUGACUUCUUAGAGGGACGUGCAUUCGACUAGUUGCAGGAAGAUAGGGGCAAUAACA